ACUUGUAACUUUUGAAAGCGUUUGAUUUGAAAUCAAACAGUUUGUUUUUAUUAACAAUACAGGUU
rnacentral:tRNA from 1 species